CCGGAGGGGUCGUGGGGAAUUGAAGAGAGAUAAAUCAAUAUGAAACAGUUCGGUCUUUAGGGAGAGAGCUGAAGAUAUUAGGGAGAGAGUCAACAGAUAUGGCGAGCGUGGGGAGGAAUGGCUUGGACUCCGAGAGCAGACUCGGAGGAGGACGAGGAGAGAGCAGAGAUUGAUGGCAGAUUGCCACGACGCUAUCACGGCGUCACCGCUGCUCUGGGAGGUCUCGUGGGGGCGACGGCGCGAAACGUUGGACUACGAGGGUCGGCCGGCCUAGGCUAUCAAACCGGGGUGGAAUGAGAGAACCGCCACCAAAUGCCUGGAGCCGAAUUCGCUGUCGAAGACCCCCUUCCACAAACCACUCCACCACCGUGAACAGAUGACCAGUAGCGGGGUCACCUGACAUCCGGUGACGUUUCGUUUGAAAUCCGAAACGCAUCCCUGCUCUACAGAUCACUCUCACAGAAGAAGGCGAAGUCUCUCAACGCCGGACAAAUUUAGGGGAGGGCAUCGCCGGUUGUAUAUACCGCAAAUAAUAACAAGAGCACAUUUAACAAUUACGUUUGCGUGUACUGUAAUUACAGGAUACACCAUUUAAAUAAAACGUAAUGACUCAGAACAUAUUUACAAUGUCAUAUUUAUAAUUCAGUCACAACUACCAGGGAAAACGACAACUUACAUUUAUGUGCCCAAGAAUAUUGCAAACGUCUCAAGAGUGCAGAAUAACCGAGGAGGAACUGGGAGGGAAUGCGAGGAAGCGAAGAGAUCAACAAUUCCCAGUUUUACGUGGAGGUGGUUGAGCCAGAUGAUUUCGUAUGGAGUGGUGGAGUGGACGUUGGGAGCCUUCACGCGGCCCGCUUUCUGCCGAGUGAGAAAUCCCGUUCGGUGGCAUCAUCAACACGGCGACCGAACAUCAAUCAACGAUCUCCCGGUCUCCAAAGCAACAACUCAAGCCGAUAUAUCAAUAACGUGACACGUGAUAAACCCUCUUUAUCCACAACCCUAUUACCCACAACUCCUAUUAUUUGUGGGAGCUGUAGGGUCCGUGAAAAGUCAAUUAUCCACGGCCCAUUUAUUCCAAUUAUCUGUGAUUAUCCUAGAUUGUUUUUCCAGUGGAUAAGUGGACGAAAUUUGUGAAUAACCCUGCAGAUAAAAGGAUCUGAAAAAUCAGUCCUUUGCAUGUAUCACCGCGGAUAAGAGAUGUUCUACAGUAAAUAACUCCUCCUUUCUACAUUUAUUUCCCUACGUAACAAGUUAAAGUUACUUUUUAACACAACCAAUCAGCUGCAUAGCCUUGGAGAGACGUAUGGGAUUUAGGCAUUAUUUACAUUUCCAUCAACAUUCUUCACAAUGACCCCUACUGAUUAUUGUGUUACGCAUUGAAUAGCUUUGUUUAUAAGCAAUUUAGGAGCCAUUUCUAACAGAGAAAGAGCGUCCUUGCUUGUAAACUUUGGGCAGUUCACCAAUCAAGGCCGACUCUGCUCAAACAACCUUGAGGAAUGUUGAAAAGCUCUGCUCCCGCGCGAGAGUGGAGCCCUUGUCAAUGCUGGAUGUAACCUCCGGUGAAACCUCGUGUAAAAUUGUCAACAUUUUGCUCCCUUUUCAACAUUCCUCCUCCUCCGCUUUGUUCUGAAAAACCAAUAAAUUGGCGUGUUUAGCCCCACGUGGAAACUUGAUUUGAUUGACUCUGUGGUGGGAAGGUUACAAUAAAAUAUUGACAUUGUACCUCCAUGACAUAACACAAAAUAAAUUAUUCAUGAAUCAUUGCACGCUUACAAUUCAGAAUUUUUAAAUAAAAUAAAAAAUGAGCAUUAUUUUAUUGAGUCAGCUGCGGCAAGAAGCCACAAGUGUGCAUACAGAACGCUAGCAACUUUGCAACCGUUUAACCCUGAUCUACACAGCUACGUGUCGUCAGCAGAGACUGCUGCGGAUAAUUAGGUUAAAUAAUUACUGCGGUAAUUACAAACCACUGACCCCCGAUCAAUUACGGAGUCGGCUUCCGUUUUUUUACUGCAGUCGGAGUAACAACGAUCACCACCACCACCGUUGUUUUGUCGCUACAGACUUUGUCCUUUGACCUCGCUCAGCCAUGUUCUCUCCGCAACGUUCUCGUCCAAACGCGAGCCGGAGUGGCUCUCCGGGCCCUCGAAAAAUGCGUGCGUGCGUGCCACGCUGACCUCAUCGUCCUGCUGCCAGACUUGCGCGCAGCAUUGCUGCUGUGUCAAGCAUCGUCUCAUUUGUAGCGAGGGCGCGAGGCAUAUUAACAAUCUCGGCACAACGCUUAAGGCCCCAGGCAACGUAAUAUCAGCUCGGAGUUCCAUUCCUAACAAACAUAGAAAAGGCCAAGAGAACAAAACGAAUAAAUCUCUCUUCUCGCAUCUAACUCCCAUCGUCUCUGUCCCGUGUCUACAUCUCUUUCAUUUGACAGCUCUGGCUCAUGUGAAUUUUGCCGGAUAUCGUAAUGUCGCAAUGCUUCCUCGUCUGUUCCAAAUCAGGCAUGAGUUAUUGGGCGAUUUGUCUGCUAUUGAGGCCAUUGUCCGAAAGAGCCUAAUUUUUUUGUUGGCCAGUGUUACUGACGAAUGUGUUCAUUUUAAGUUUGUAUUAUUAUUAACUAGUAACGCUUGAGAUGGAUUGAUGACCACUGCAAUGGUAUUAAUGUAUCAAAGUUCCAAAUGACCACUGCUGCUUUAUUGUGAAUACUUGUCUAUGAAGAAGAUGAAAAUGCAGACCAGUAAAGUUUUAUCACGUAAUUUUCCACGUAUGAGUAAUGGCUUGGGUGCCUCUCUUGCGAGACCCACGGGGCUCAAUAUUGCACUGUCAUCGCUUUUAUUCAUUCUUUCGCUGCAUUUACAUUCGUUC